GACGAACGCUGGAGGCGUGCUUAACACAUGCAAGUCGAACGGAAAGGCCCUGCUUGCAGGGUACUCGAGUGGCGAACGGGUGAGUAACACGUGGGUGAUCUGCCCUGCACUUCGGGAUAAGCUUGGGAAACUGGGUCUAAUACCGGAUAGGAGCCAUCUUUAGUGUGGUGGUUGGAAAGUUUUUUCGGUGUAGGAUGAGCUCGCGGCCUAUCAGCUUGUUGGUGGGGUAAUGGCCUACCAAGGCGGCGACGGGUAGCCGGCCUGAGAGGGUGUACGGCCACAUUGGGACUGAGAUACGGCCCAGACUCCUACGGGAGGCAGCAGUGGGGAAUAUUGCACAAUGGGCGCAAGCCUGAUGCAGCGACGCCGCGUGGGGGAUGAAGGCCUUCGGGUUGUAAACUCCUUUCGCUAGGGACGAAGCUUUUUUGUGACGGUACCUAGAUAAGAAGCACCGGCUAACUACGUG
rnacentral:rRNA from 1 species